ACUCCUACGGGAGGCAGCAGUGGGGAAGUCUUCCACAAUGGGCGCAAGCCUGAUGGAGCAACACCGCGUGAGUGAAGAAGGGUUUCGGCUCGUAAAGCUCUGUUGUUAAAGAAGAACACGUAUGAGAGUAACUGUUCAUACGUUGACGGUAUUUAACCAGAAAGUCACGGCUAACUACGUGCCAGCAGCCGCGGUAAUACGUAGGUGGCAAGCGUUAUCCGGAUUUAUUGGGCGUAAAGAGAGUGCAGGCGGUUUUCUAAGUCUGAUGUGAAAGCCUUCGGCUUAACCGGAGAAGUGCAUCGGAAACUGGAUAACUUGAGUGCAGAAGAGGGUAGUGGAACUCCAUGUGUAGCGGUGGAAUGCGUAGAUAUAUGGAAGAACACCAGUGGCGAAGGCGGCUACCUGGUCUGCAACUGACGCUGAGACUCGAAAGCAUGGGUAGCGAACAGGAUUAGAUACCCUGGUAGGAUAGCG
rnacentral:rRNA from 1 species